rnacentral:rRNA from 1 species
AGCAAAAGAAACCAACAGGGAUUGCCCUAGUAACGGCGAGUGAAGCGGCAACAGCUCAAAUUUGAAAUCUGGCCCUCGGGUCCGAGUUGUAAUUUGCAGAGGAUGCUUUUGGCGCGGUGCCUUCCGAGUUCCCUGGAACGGGACGCCUUAGAGGGUGAGAGCCCCGUACGGUUGGACACCAAGCCUCUGUAAAGCUCCUUCGACGAGUCGAGUAGUUUGGGAAUGCUGCUCUAAAUGGGAGGUAAAUUUCUUCUAAAGCUAAAUACCGGCCAGAGACCGAUAGCGCACAAGUAGAGUGAUCGAAAGAUGAAAAGCACUUUGAAAAGAGGGUUAAAUAGCACGUGAAAUUGUUGAAAGGGAAGCGUUUACGGCCAGACCUUUUCCUGGCGGAUCAUCUGGUGUUCUCACCAGUGCACUCCGCCAGGUUUAGGCCAGCAUCGGCUCCCGUAGGGGGAUAAAAGCAGUGGGAAAGUAGCUCCCUCGGGAGUGUUAUAGCCCGCUGCACAAUACCCUUACAGGGGCCGAGGACCGCGCUCUUGCAAGGAUGCUGGCGUAAUGGUCGUCAACGAC